CCUACGGGGGGCAGCAGUGGGGAAUAUUGCACAAUGGGGGAAACCCUGAUGCAGCGACGCCGCGUGAGUGAAGAAGGAUUUCGGUACGGAAAGCUCUAUCAGCAGGGAAGAAAAUGACGGUACCUGACUAAGAAGCCCCGGCGAACUACGUGCCAGCAGCCGCGGUAAUACGUAGGGGGCAAGCGUUAUCCGGAUUUACUGGGUGUAAAGGGAGCGUAGACGGCAGCGCUAGUCUGGAGUGACAUCCCAUGGCUUAACCAUGGAACUGCUUUGGAAACUGUGCAGCUAGAGUGCAGGAGAGGUAAGCGGAAUUCCUCGUGUAGCGGUGAAAUGCGUAGAUAUCACGCAGAACUCCGAUUGCGACGGCAGCAUACCGGCGCUCAACUGACGCUCAUGCACGAAAGUGUGGGUAUCGAACAGGAUUAGAUACCCGGGUAGUC
rnacentral:rRNA from 1 species